rnacentral:rRNA from 1 species
AGGGAGGGUUGAUCAUGGCUCAGAACGAACGCUGGCGGCGUGCUUAACACAUGCAAGUCGUGCGAGAAAGCUUCCUUCGGGAAGUGAGUAGAGCGGCGCACGGGUGAGUAACACGUGGAUAAUCUACCCAGGAGUUUGGGAUAACCCGGGGAAACCCGGGCUAAUACCGAAUACGGCCUGACGGUCUUCGGACCGACAGGAGAAAGCGGGCCAAUGCUUGCAAGCUCGCGCCCCUGGAUGAGUCCGCGUCCCAUUAGCUUGUUGGUGAGGUAAAAGCUCACCAAGGCUUUGAUGGGUAGCUGAUCUGAGAGGAUGAUCAGCCACACUGGAACUGAGACACGGUCCAGACUCCUACGAGAGGCAGCAGUGGGGAAUUUUGGUCAAUGGGCGAAAGCCUGAACCAGCAACGCCGCGUGCAGGAUGAAGGCCCUCGGGUCGUAAACUGCUGUCAGGAGGGAAGAACGGCGGUUCGGUUAAUACCCGGGCCGUGUGACGGUACCUCCAAAGGAAGCACCGGCUAACUCCGUGCCAGCAGCCGCGGUAAUACGGAGGGUGCAAGCGUUGUUCGGAAUUACUGGGCGUAAAGCGCGUGUAGGCGGCUUGGUAAGUCGGGUGUGAAAUCCCGGGGCUCAACCCCGGAACUGCAUCCGAAACUGCCUCGCUAGAGUCCCGGAGAGGAAGGCAGAAUUCCCAGUGUAGGGGUGAAAUCCGUAGAUAUUGGGG